AUUGAACGCUGGCGGCAUGCUUUACACAUGCAAGUCGAACGCGAAAGGGGCAACCCUGAGUAGAGUGGCGCACGGGUGAGUAAUACAUCGGAACGUGUCCUGUAAUGGGGGAUAACGCAGCGAAAGCUGUGCUAAUACCGCAUACGUCCUACGGGAGAAAGCGGGGGAUCGCAAGACCUCGCGUUAUAGGAGCGGCCGAUGCCGGAUUAGCUAGUUGGUGGGGUAAAGGCCUACCAAGGCAACGAUCCGUAGCUGGUCUGAGAGGAUGAUCAGCCACACUGGGACUGAGACACGGCCCAGACUCCUACGGGAGGCAGCAGUGGGGAAUUUUGGACAAUGGGCGCAAGCCUGAUCCAGCCAUGCCGCGUGAGUGAAGAAGGCCUUCGGUUGUAAAGCUCUUUC
rnacentral:rRNA from 1 species